ensembl:lncRNA
GUUGGUCGUAAGCGAGAUGUUUGCCCGAAAAGGGAGAAGGCAGAGGGAGGGGUGCAGGUGGUCAUCGUAACGCCUGGGCCCACUGAUGUAGGGAGAGGUGAGCUGACAGCGGUAGAGCAGCCACAAGCACCUGUUGCUGAGGAACAAGUUAUCCGUGUUGAGGGCACGGGGUUGCAACUUGUAUUAGAGGGAAAUGUUAUGCUACAGAUAGGUAUUGUUGUAGAAGGUAAGGAUGUAUCUGAAGAGCCAGUUCCUCAGACUGGUGAGCAGGUGCCCAGUACGAGUGCUGGGGUAAAGGAGGGGGUUCAUGUGGAGCUAGGCUCCCAGGUAGUGGAGGAGAUGCCCACUAUGAGUAAUGAGGU